rnacentral:lncRNA from 1 species
CUGUUGUGGAAUAUGAGUGCCGUCCAGGUUACAGAAGAGAACCUUCUCUAUCACCAAAACUAACUUGCCUUCAGAAUUUAAAAUGGUCCACAGCAGUCGAAUUUUGUAAAAAAAUCAUGCCCUAAUCCGGGAGAAAUACGAAAUGGUCAGAUUGAUGUACCAGGUGGCAUAUUAUUUGGUGCAACCAUCUCCUUCUCAUGUAACACAGGGUACAAAUUAUUUGGCUCGACUUCUAGUUUUUGUCUUAUUUCAGGCAGCUCUGUCCAGUGGAGUGACCCGUUGCCAGAGUGCAGAGAAAUUUAUUGUCCAGCACCACCACAAAUUGACAAUGGAAUAAUUCAAGGGGAACGUGACCAUUAUGGAUAUAGACAGUCUGUAACGUAUGCAUGUAAUAAAGGAUUCACCAUGAUUGGAGAGCACUCUAUUUAUUGUACUGUGAAUAAUGAUGAAGGAGAGUGGAGUGGCCCACCACCUGAAUGCAGAGGAAAAUCUCUAACUUCCAAGGUCCCACCAACAGUUCAGAAACCUACCACAGUAAAUGUUCCAACUACAGAAGUCUCACCAACUUCUCAGAAAACCACCACAAAAACCACCACACCAAAUGCUCAAGCAACACGGAGUACACCUGUUUCCAGGACAACCAAGCAUUUUCAUGAAACAACCCCAAAUAAAGGAAGUGGAACCACUUCAGGUACUACCCGUCUUCUAUCUGGGCACACGUGUUUCACGUUGACAGGUUUGCUUGGGACGCUAGUAACCAUGGGCUUGCUGACUUAGCCAAAGAAGAGUUAAGAAGAAAAUACACACAAGUAUACAGACUGUUCCUAGUUUCUUAGACUUAUCUGCAUAUUGGAUAAAAUAAAUGCAAUUGUGCUCU